AUCCUGGCUCAGAACGAACGCUAGCGGCGCGUUUCAGGCAUGCAAGUCGCACGGUACCAGCCCUUCGGGGUGUUGACGAGUGGCGCACAGGUGAGUAACGCGUAGGUCACCUGCCCUUAGGUCAGGGAUAGCCCUACGAAAGUAGGAUUAAUACCUGAUAAUAUGGCGACAUCAAAGGAUUUAUUCGCCUAAGGAUGGGCCUGCGUUGGAUUAGCUUGUUGGUGGGGUAACGGCUCACCAAGGCAACGAUCUAUAGCCGAGUUGAGAGGCUGAUCGGCCACAUUGGAACUGAGACACGGUCCAGACUCCUACGGGAGGCAGCAGCUAAGAAUCUUCCGCAAUGGGCGCAAGCCUGACGGAGCGACGCCGCGUGAACGAUGAAGGCCUUUCGGGUUGUAAAGUUCUUUUAUAAGAGACGAAUGUCUGAUGUAGGUCAGGCUGACUGUAUCUUUUGAAUAAGGUCCGGCUAACUACGUGCCAGCAGCCGCGGUAAUACGUAGGGACCAAGCGUUGUUCGGAAUUAUUGGGCGUAAAGGGUACGUAGGCGGCAUGAUAAGUCAGAUGUGAAAUCCUUGGGCUCAACCUGAGGUCUGCGUCUGAUACUGUUGUGCUUGAGUUACUGAGAGGAAGACGGAAUUCCUGGUGUAGGGGUGAAAUCUAUAGAUAUCAGGAAGAACACCUAUUGCGAAGGCAGUCUUCUGGCAGCUAACUGACGCUGAUGUACGAAAGUUAGGGUAGCAAACAGGAUUAGAGACCCUGGUAGUCCUAACCGUAAACGUUGUAUACUAGGUGGUUGAAGUAUUGAUCCUUAGACUGCCGGAGCUAACGCAUUA
rnacentral:rRNA from 1 species